GGGCCGAUAGUCUAGCGGUUAGGAUCCCGCCCUUACACGGCGGUGGUCGCCGGUUCGAAUCCGGCUCGGCCCA
rnacentral:tRNA from 1 species